rnacentral:rRNA from 1 species
CCUACGGGGGGCAGCAGUGGGGAAUAUUGGACAAUGGGCGAAAGCCUGAUCCAGCCAUGCCGCGUGUGUGAAGAAGGCCUUCGGGUUGUAAAGCACUUUCAGUGGGGAAGAAAGCCUUGGGGCUAAUACCCUCGAGGAAGGACAUCACCCACAGAAGAAGCACCGGCUAACUCCGUGCCAGCAGCCGCGGUAAUACGGAGGGUGCGAGCGUUAAUCGGAAUUACUGGGCGUAAAGCGCGCGUAGGCGGUCUGAUAAGCCGGUUGUGAAAGCCCCGGGCUCAACCUGGGAACGGCAUCCGGAACUGUCAGGCUAGAGUGCAGGAGAGGAAGGUAGAAUUCCCGGUGUAGCGGUGAAAUGCGUAGAGAUCGGGAGGAAUGCCAGUGGCGAAGGCGGCCUUCUGGACUGACACUGACGCUGAGGUGCGAAAGCGUGGGUAGCAAACAGGAUUAGAUACCCCAGUAGUC